rnacentral:rRNA from 1 species
UACGGAGGGUGCAAGCGUUAUCCGGAUUCACUGGGUUUAAAGGGUGCGUAGGAGGGCAGGUAAGUCAGUGGUGAAAUCCCCGAGCUUAACUUGGGAACUGCCGUUGAUACUAUCUGUCUUGAAUACCGUGGAGGUGAGCGGAAUAUGUCAUGUAGCGGUGAAAUGCUUAGAUAUGACAUAGAACACCAAUUGCGAAGGCAGCUCACUACACGAAUAUUGACUCUGAGGCACGAAAGCGUGGGGAUCAAACAGG